GAUGAACGCUGGCGGCGUGCCUAAUACAUGCAAGUCGAGCGAACAGACGAGGAUUUUGCUCCUCGGACGUUAGCGGCGGACGGGUGAGUAACACGUGUAUAAUCUACCUAAAAGACUGGGAUCUCUUCGGGACACCGGAGCUAAUACCGGAUAAUAUCUUGAACCGUAGGGUUGAAUAGUGAAAGACGGUUGUGCGGGCACGUAUCGAGGGAUCCCCGCCGCAUUAGCUAGUUGGUCAGGUAAAGGCUUACUACGGCAACGAUGCGUUACCGACCUGAUGGAGUGGUCGCCCACACUGGAACUGAACCACGGUCAAGACUCCUGCGGUACGCAGCAGUAUGCAAUCUUACGCAAUAGUCGAAAGCAUGGCGGAGCAACCCCGCGUGUGUGAUGACAGUCUUCGGAUCGUAAAGAUCUGUUAUUAGUGAAAAACAACUGUGUAAUUAACUAUGCAGUUAGUGACGGUAACUAAUCAGAAAGCCACGGCUAACUACGUG
rnacentral:rRNA from 1 species